UGGGGAAUAUUGGACAAUGGGCGCAAGCCUGAUCCAGCCAUGCCGCGUGAGUGAUGAAGGCCCUAGGGUUGUAAAGCUCUUUCACCGGUGAAGAUAAUGACGGUAACCGGAGAAGAAGCCCCGGCUAACUUCGUGCCAGCAGCCGCGGUAAUACGACGGGGGCUAGCGUUGUUCGGAAUUACUGGGCGUAAAGCGCACGUAGGCGGAUCGAUCAGUUAGGGGUGAAAUCCCGGGGCUCAACCCCGGAACUGCCUCUAAUACUGUCGAUCUGGAGGUCGAGAGAGGUGAGUGGAAUUCCGAGUGUAGAGGUGAAAUUCGUAGAUAUUCGGAGGAACACCAGUGGCGAAGGCGGCUCACUGGCUCGAUACUGACGCUGAGGUGCGAAAGCGUGGGGAGCAAACA
rnacentral:rRNA from 1 species